GACGAACGCUGGCGGCGUGCUUAACACAUGCAAGUCGAACGGAAAGGCCCUGCUUGCAGGGUACUCGAGUGGCGAACGGGUGAGUAACACGUGGGUGAUCUGCCCUGCACUUCGGGAUAAGCCUGGGAAACUGGGUCUAAUACCGGAUAGGAGCCAUUUUUAGUGUGAUGGUUGGAAAGUUUUUUCGGUGUAGGAUGAGCUCGCGGCCUAUCAGCUUGUUGGUGGGGUAAUGGCCUACCAAGGCGGCGACGGGUAGCCGGCCUGAGAGGGUGGACGGCCACAUUGGGACUGAGAUACGGCCCAGACUCCAACGGGAGGCAGAGGUGGGAAAUAUGGCACAAGGGGCGCAGCCUGAUGCAGCGACGCCGCGUGGGGGAGGACGGCCUUCGGGUUGUAAACUCCUUUCGCUAGGGACGAAGCUUUUUGUGACGGUACCUAGAGAAGAAGCACCGGCUAACUACGUG
rnacentral:rRNA from 1 species